rnacentral:misc_RNA from 1 species
AGGCCUUGACAUCCUUGGAACUUAGCAGAGAUGCUUUGGUGCCUUCGGGAGCCAAGUGACAGGUGCUGCAUGGCUGUCGUCAGCUCGUGUCGUGAGAUGUUGGGUUAAGUCCCGUAACGAGCGCAACCCUUGUCCUUAGUUGCCAGCGCGUAAUGGCGGGAACUCUAAGGAGACUGCCGGUGACAAACCGGAGGAAGGUGGGGAUGACGUCCUUGCUAGGUAA